GACGAACGCUGGCGGCGUGCUUAACACAUGCAAGUCGAACGGAAAGGCCCUGCUUUUGUGGGGUGCUCGAGUGGCGAACGGGUGAGUAACACGUGAGUAACCUGCCCUUGACUUUGGGAUAACUUCAGGAAACUGGGGCUAAUACCGGAUAGGAGCUCCUGCUGCAUGGUGGGGGUUGGAAUGUUUCGGCGGUUGGGGAUGGACUCGCGGCUUAUGAGCUUGUUGGUGGGGUAGUGGCUUACCAAGGCUUUGACGGGUAGCCGGCCUGAGAGGGAGAACGGCCACAGUGGGACUGAGACACGGACCAGACUCCUACGGGAGGCAGCGGUGGAGAAUAUUGAACAAUGGGCGAGAGCCUGAUGCAGCAACGCCGCGUGCGGGAUGACGGCCUUCGGGUUAUAAACCGCUUUCGCCUGUGACGAAGCGUGAGUGACGGUAAUGGGUAAAGAAGCACCGGCUAACUACGUG
rnacentral:rRNA from 1 species